AUACGAUUUUAUUUUGAUAGUUCAAACUUAAGAAACGAAAAGGUGAUUCAAUUAUCUAGUGUAUCU